UACGUAGGGGGCAAGCGUUGUCCGGAUUUAUUGGGCGUAAAGAGCGUGUAGGCGGCCUUACAGGUCAGCUGUGAAAACUCGAGGCUCAACCUCGAGACGUCGGUUGAAACCGUAUGGCUAGAGUCCGGAAGAGGAGAGUGGAAUUCCCGGUGUAGCGGUGAAAUGCGCAGAUAUCGGGAAGAACGCCCGUGGCGAAGGCGGCUCUCUGGGACGGUACUGACGCUGAGACGCGAAAGCGUGGGUAGCAAACAGG
rnacentral:rRNA from 1 species